rnacentral:lncRNA from 1 species
AGAUGCCGAAAGGAAAGAAGGCCAAGGGGAAGAAGGUGGCUCCGGCCCCUGCUGUCGUGAAGAAACAGGAGGUUAAGAAAGUGGCGAGUCCCCUGUUUGACAAAAGGCCUAAGAAUUUUGGCAUUGGACAGGACAUCCAGCCCAAAAGAGACCUCACCUGCUUCAUGAAAUUGUCUGUAUUAGGUUAUAUCAGGUUGCAGUGGCAGAGAGCCAUUCUCCGUAAGCGACUUGAAAGUGCCUCCUGCGUGCGAUUAACCAGUUCACCCAAGCCCUGCACCUCCAAACAGCUACUCAGCUGCUUCAGCUGGCCCACAACUACAGACCAGAGACAAAGCAAGAGAAGAAGCAGAGGCUGUUGGUCCGGGCUGAGAAGAAAGCUGCCAGCAAAGGGGACAUCCCCACUAGGAGACCACUUGUCCUUCAAGCAGGAGUUAACACCGUCACCACCUUGGUGGAGAACAAGAAGACUCAGCUGGUGGUGAUGGCACACGAUGUGGAUACCAUCCAGCUGGUUGUCUUCCUGCCUGCCUUAUGUCGUAAAAUGGGGGUCUCUUCCCCUGCAUUAUCAAGGGGAAGGCAAGACUGGGACGUGUAGUCCACAGGAAGACCUGCACCACUGUUGCCUUCACGCAGGUGAACUCGGAAGACAAAGGAGCUUUGGCUAAGCUGGCGGAAGCUAUGAGGACCAACUACAACAACAGAUAACGAUGAGAUCCACCGUCACUGGGGAGGCAAUGUCCUGGGUCCCAAAUCUGUGGCUCACAUUGCCAAGCUUGGAAAGGCAAAGUUUAAAGAA